ACGCUGGCGGCGCGCUUUAUACAUGCAAGUCGAACGAGAAGCCAGAGCUUGCUCUGGUGGAAAGUGGCGAACGGGUGAGUAACACGUGAGAAACCUGCCCCAAAGACUGGGAUAAGCCGAGGAAACUUGGUCUAAUACCGGAUACCUUCUUUUUAUCACAUGUUAAAAAGAAGAAAUGCUCCGGCGCUUUGGGAUGGUCUCGCGACCUAUCAGCUUGUUAGUGAGGUAAAAGCUCACCAAGGCAUCGACGGGUAGCUGGUCUGAGAGGAUGUCCAGCCACAUUGGGACUGAGAUACGGCCCAAACUCCUACGGGAGGCAGCAGUAGGGAAUCUUGCACAAUGAGGGAAACCUUGAUGCAGCGACGCCGCGUGCGGGACGAAGGCCCUAGGGUUGUAAACCGCUUUCAGUAGGGACGAAAGUGACGGUACCUACAGAAGAAGCCCCGGCCAACUAUGUG
rnacentral:rRNA from 1 species